rnacentral:sRNA from 1 species
GGGAGGUAAAUUUCUUCUAAAGCUAAAUAUUGGCCAGAGACCGAUAGCGCACAAGUAGAGUGAUCGAAAGAUGAAAAGCACUUUGGAAAGAGAGUCAAAAAGCACGUGAAAUUGUUGAAAGGGAAGCGCUUGCAAUCAGACUUGCCUGUAGUUGCUCAUCUGGACUCUUGUCCGGUGCACUCUUCUGCGGGCAGGCCAGCAUCAGUUCAGGCGGCUGGAUAAAGGCCUCUAUCACGUAUCUUCCUUCGGGAUGACCUUAUAGGGGAGGUGUAAUGCAGCCAGCCUGGAUUGAGGUCCGCGCAUCUGCUAGGAUGCUGGCGUAAUGAUUGUAAGCGGCCCGUCUUGAAACACGGGAC